rnacentral:lncRNA from 10 species
UUUUUUGAGAUAUGUAUAAAAUCAAAGUUUUUAAAAAAUAGUAGUUAAGAGUUAGAAUUAAAAUAUCAAAUUUUUGGAAAGGUUUUGAAUUCUCUGUAUAAAGCAUUCAAAUAAAUUUAAAUUCCCAUGACUGAGAUUAAGUGGUAUUAGAUAAAGCACUGAUUUACAGGAAUUACAGAUGUAGGAAAGAGUUAGUAAAUUUUUUAUCAUUUUCAUUACCCAUGUACAAUUCUUUUAAUCCACAUUAUGUAGAUAAUUUAUAUAGUCCAGUACUCUCCAAAUGUGAGGAAAAAAGAAAAUCGCUUGUCAAAUAGCUUGUAAUAUGUACUCUGAGAUGUUUGAAUAUAUGUUUACAUUUUUUUAAAUGAUAAUUGAAAGGACAUAAGCUGUUUUCCAAAUUUACACAUAGUGCUCAUAUCCCAAGAACAUAUAAACGUACACCAGGGAACAGCUUGCUUUAUUUGAGCACGUGCAAUGUAGAAUAGAGUUAAUAUUAGAGUUAAGUAUUGAGUUAAUAUAAACCCCAUCUCCAUUUUAGACAUCAGAGACUUCUUUCUCAAUUACUGCACUUUCUAAUCAUAUUCAUUGUCUCCUGUAGUUCUCACAAAUCUCUCUGUUGUUAUUUCACUAUAACUAAGCUAGAGGAAGCAAGGUCAAUCCAGAUAGAGCUGACAGCAGAGUUCAAGCCUUUCAGCCCUAGAUAUGUGCUGUCUUAGGGUAAUGCAAAAAAAAAAAAAAAAAAAAAAACAGUCUUUAUUAAGUGAGAAUAAACCUCAAGCCAGGAAGGAAGAAAGGAAGGGAGGGAGGAAGCUAGGGAAGGAAAGAAGGAGGGAAGGAAGGGGAAAAGUAUUAGUUCUUACACUGCCAUAAAGAAAUACCUGAGACUGGGUAAUUUAUAAAGAAAAGAGGUUUAAUUGACUCACAGUUCUGCAUGCUGUACAGGAAGCAUGGCUGGGGGAGCCUCAGGGAGCUUUUACUCAUGGCACAAGGCAAAGCCGGAACAGGCAUCCUCACGUGGCCAGAGCAGAAGGAAGGGUUUGGGGGGAGAUACCACACACUCUUAACCAGAUUUCAUGAACACUCACGCACUAUUGCAGCAGCACCAAGAGGGAAGUCUGCCCCCAAGAUCCAGUCACCUUCUACCACGCCCCAGUUCCAACAUUGGGGAUUACAAUUUGACAGGAGAUUUGGGUGGGGACACAGAUCCAAACCAUAUCAGGAAGAAAGGAGUAAGCAAGAUGAAUGCAGAGAAAGUGGAACAGAGCAUGUAAGAAGAGCCAGUGUUAUAGAACAAUAGGAGGAAGUAGGCUUAAAAAAACUAAAAUGUAGAGAAAUAGGAAAUUAAUAAUUGUUUUACAGAUGCCAAAGAGGCAAAGUUUAAAACUAGGAGUUGCUGGAUAUCAAAAGCUACAAAAAAGGCUGCAGAGAAUGACACGAGGAAAUUGCGUGACUGUAUCAGUCAUUAGGGAGUUAUCAGUUUUAUAUGAAAUCUGUAAUUCUUAUCACAACAUAAGAUCAUAAAGCAGAAAUGGUAAAAUCACAAACGUAACAUCUAUAGAAUUACCAUAAGCCUGG